GCGUAGGGAGCGAGCGUUGUCCGGAAUUACUGGGCGUAAAGGGCGUGUAGGCGGGGAUUUAAGUAACGUGUGAAAAAAGAGGGGGGAACUUGGAGACUGCACUUUAAACUGGAUCUCUUGAGGGCAGGAGAGGAAAGUGGAAUUCCUAGUGUAGCGGUGAAAUGCGUAGAUAUUAGGAGGAACACCAGUGGCGAAGGCGACUUUCUGGACUGUACCUGACGCUGAGGCGCGAAAGCGUGGGUAGCGAACAG
rnacentral:rRNA from 1 species